rnacentral:rRNA from 1 species
UACGUAGGGUGCAAGCGUUGUCCGGAAUUAUUGGGCGUAAAGAGCUCGUAGGCGGUUUGUCGCGUCUGCUGUGAAAACUCGGGGCUUAACUCCGGGCCUGCAGUGGGUACGGGCAGACUAGAGUGCGGUAGGGGAGACUGGAAUUCCUGGUGUAGCGGUGAAAUGCGCAGAUAUCAGGAGGAACACCGAUGGCGAAGGCAGGUCGUCUGGGCCGAUACUGACGCUGAGGAGCGAAAGCGUGGGGAGCGAACAGG